ACCCACCCUCGCCACGCCCCUUUCGCGGAGUCUCGGCCAAUCGGGGCGCACGGGCAUGCCAGGGCUCUGAGUGGGGCGGGGCCACGAGGUCCGGGGCCCGUGGUCACGCCGGGGAAGAAGGGCAGCCGAGGGGUCAGGGCUGCAAUCUCGGGGAGCUGCCUGGAGCUUCCCCUUGCCGAGGCCCGGAGUUUCUCGGAUCAGACGCCGCCAGUCUCUCUUUCCUUCUAAACGCCGAGGGCAGGCGCCGAGCCCCGCGCCCCGGAGCGUCCGCAGGCCCGGUAGUUUUACAGAUAGAAUGAUUUCAUUUGGAGAGGAAGAAUCAUUUGACAGUGCGGCAAGAACUUAAUUUCCCUGGGAUCUUCAAUAGCUGUGGCCACAGCACCUGCAGGAGCAGGUUACCAGCUGGAAGCCAGAAGCACCUGAAGUGAUGUUGAACUUAAAGAGUCUGAAAGAAGAUUGAAGAAGGCUGAAAUUAUCCUGGUCUAAUCAAUUUUGCCUUACAUAAGGGAACACCUCAGGAUGGCAGGAUAUCGUCUUUGGAAUGAUCUGGGAGGCUGAAUGUCGAGUCAGGAUUUCUGGAGAAUGUGGGGAAACUGGGAGGUUUUGUGCUGUUUGAAGGCUGGGAUUUCGCUGCUGGCAAAUAACUCUAUAUAGGCUGGAAUGGGGUGGGUGGUGGAGGUCUCUGGCCUCCCUUCCUUCAAUCAGCCUUUUGUUUUGUCCCUACUUUAUUUGUGUACCAGUCUUGUAGCACUGGGGUCACCCCAUUCCUAGCCAUUGGGGAGGCCUUCUUCUCUAUAGUUCCUGGUCUUAAAAAAAGUUAUCUACCUGUCUUUCUGCCCCUGCCCUCUUUUAGAAAAGUCCUUGGAGACACAAAAUGCUGGUAAUUAAGAAAAAUUGCCUAAUCUCAAAUCAGAGAGUAAACUGGAUCCUUUAAAGUAGAUCCUUCUCCCACAGCAUCACAACAAAUGGUAUCAAAGUCAGCUCCAUGACCCAGUCUGAUGGAGACGCCGUGCAGAAAUAAGGCAAGAACCAGAGUAGGAUUCCCGGUGUCCAGCCAUGUUUCCAGUGAAAGGCCAACACAAUGGCCAGAAGAGAGCAGCAGCAUGGUUUUUACUUCACUAAAUGGGGAGUUCUGCAACAUCAAAAGUGUGAGAAUCCCUGGCCACAUAGGUCCUCUGUCUUUGUGUGUGCUCUUCAUCCAUUUGCCAUGGACCUCAGGACAUCUGUUUGCAUGGACAUUUCUGCCCUGCCCUAGAUGCUGCAAAAACAUCUACUCAUUGACAGGAAUGGAGCCCUUUUCUAUAAAUGAGUGAGGUGAGAGUUAAAUGUGAUCUGGGCCUUGGUCCUGUUCAUUUUUUUAUUUUUCCUGCAUUGGAUUGUUUAGAGUAGGACUCCUUAAAAAUUUGUAAUUUUAAAAAAUAUUUUGAUAACUGUGCUCCAAUAUAAUUAGUUUCAUGUGUAUUUUAUUUUAUGUACUUAAAAAAUUCUUCUGAAAAGUGGUCUGUAGGCAUCACUAGAAUGCUAAAGAAGUCCAUGACAAAAAAGGUGAAGAAAUUCUGACUUACAGCAAUAGGGUAGCAUAUUGAUUAUAUGUCUUUUCUCUAGUUUCUGAACUUUGAUUUUUACCUACUUUUUUCUUGGUUAAAAGUUAUGGCAUGAAUAAAUUUUUCUCUUUGGAAUUCAACUAUGAUUUGAAAAUAUGAUCUUCUAUCUAAACAUUUUAACAGUUGAAAAUUCCCACUUAAUAUUCAAUCAUAUUGAUUCUUACCAACUUUAUAGAAAAUGGCUCUGAACUCUCUAGAAUUUGGCAACUAGCAACAAAAUUAAUACCUCCAGGAAUCAUGCAACAAUUAAGGGUAUACAUGAUGUCUUCUUUUCUAGAGUGAACUCUAAAGAUAUUGUUUGCUUUCUUUCUGAUCUGCAAAUAAGCAUGUGAUUCAAAGUUAUGUGAACUCAAUAUAUAAUAGAAAAGUAAAACUAACAUUUAUUUUAACAUUAACAAAGGGAACCCCAAAUCCUACAGAAGCUCAACUUCAGUAACUUGAAUUCUUGUGGAAACUUUAUGGUCUACACUCCCAGGUUCUACAACUAAGGGACCCUAAUUUAAAAAUUCUCAUACAUCCCAUCCUAUUGGUCAAAUGUGAGGAGUAGAGGUGGGGGAGGGUGAAGAAUGGGAUUCUUUUCUUUUCUCUCCCUUAUUUCUGUCAUAUAAAGAAGGUAGAAGAUUCUGGAUAAAUAGGGAGAUCAUGAAAAUGAGUCCUUAGAGAUUAUCAUUGUUAAUGAAACUCAGUCUGGGAACUCAGUCAUUGUGAGCUCACCCUUGGCAUUUGGGAUGGCAUGGACCUAACUUUUUCCUGGUUGUUGAUUAGUUGGGAUUCAGCAAAGGAAGUUAUUUUAAAAACUCAUGUGCUUCUCUAAGUUCAACAAGCUUCUUUGAAAGUUGGCUUCUACUUGUUUUUCAGAUUACAGAAGUGAAGAGUUUUUUAUUCUAACUAAUAAUUGCUUAUAGGAGCUCUGUUGGACAGAAGACUCCUGGGAGGUUACUAUGCUUGUGGCUGAGAAGGAACAGAAUCCAAAGCAAAGACAGUUAAGAAAAGCUAAUCUUACAAGGUGGGUAAGAUCAUUAGAGAAUAGAUUACAACUUUGAUGAUUUUAGGUAAAGAAGAAAGAAAAUUAUUACUUUUUGCAAAUAUUAUGAUCUAUUUAGAAAACCCUAAAGAGUCAGCUAAAAUUAAUUGAAAUUAAAAUUAAUAAAUUAAACAGCAUUACAGAAUAUAAAACAAAUCUCCAUAUAUCAUUAUGAUCUAUAUAAAGCAUUCUAAUAUAUUAGUAGCAAAAUUUAGCAGGAAGAGUUAAAAAGAGAAAUUCUAUUCAAAAUAACUAUAAAAGGCAUAAAAUAGUCUAGAGUAUAUUAAGAUAAAUCCUUGAAUUAUAUGAAUGCAAAUAUAAACCACUCUUUUGGAGUAAGCCAGAUCUAAAUAAUUAAUUAUUUAGUCACUUCUUAGUUGUGAAGAACUCUUUGCAACUCUAUUUGGGGUUUUCUUGGAAAAGAUAUUGGAGUGGCUCACCAUUUCCUUCUCCAGCUCAUUUUACA